GCGAGUGAAGCGGCAACAGCUCAAAUUUGAAAGCUGGCUCCGGCCCGCAUUGUAAUUUGCAGAGGAUGCUUUUGGUGAGGUGCCUUCCGAGUUCCCUGGAACGGGACGCCAUAGAGGGUGAGAGCCCCGUAUGGAUGGACACCAAACCUGUGUAAAGCUCCUUCAACGAGUCGAGUAGUUUGGGAAUGCUGCUCAAAAUGGGAGGUAAAUCUCUUCUAAAGCUAAAUACCGGCCAGAGACCGAUAGCGCACAAGUAGAGUGAUCGAAAGAUGAAAAGCACCUUGAAAAGGGGGUUAAACAGUACGUGAAAUUGUUAAAAGGGAAGCGCUUGUGACCAGACUUGCGCCGGGCAGCUCAUCAGGGGUUCUCCCCUGUGCACUCUGCCCGGCUCAGGCCAGCAUCGGUUCUCGUGGGAGGAUAAGAACAGUAGGAAUGUGGCCCCCUCUCGGGGGGGUGUUAUAGCCUAUUGUACGAUACUCUCGUGGGGACCGAGGUUCGCGCUCCGCAAGGAUGCUGGC
rnacentral:rRNA from 1 species